rnacentral:rRNA from 1 species
CACCGCCCGUCACACCAUGGGAGUUGGUUUCACCCGAAGGCAGUGCGCUAACCCGCAAGGGAGGCAGCUGACCACGGUGGGAUCAGCGACUGGGGUGAAGUCGUAACAAGGGUACC